AUGUAUUUAUUUACAUGGCGAACUGGUGAGUAUGACAGUGGAACCUGCCCCCAUCUCAGGGAUAACCCAUCGAAAGGUGGGAUAAUACCUGAUAGUCUCGCAAGAGUAAAGCUCCGGCGGAUGGGGAGGGGCCUUUGUGCUAUCAGCUUGUUGGUGAGGUAAAAGCUCACCAAGGCUACGACGGCUAGCUGGUCUGAGAGGAUGAUCAGCCACAUCGGGACUGAGAUACGGCCCAGACUCC
rnacentral:rRNA from 1 species